GUUUACGGCCACACCGCCUGGUUCACGCCUGAUCUCGGAAGCUAAGAUAGGUUGGGCCUGGUUAGUACUUGGAUGGGAGACAGCCUGGGAAUACCAGGUGCUGUAAGCU
ensembl:rRNA 5S_rRNA 5S ribosomal RNA